rnacentral:rRNA from 1 species
GACGAACGCUGGCGGCGUGCUUAACACAUGCAAGUCGAACGGAAAGGCCCUGCUUUUGUGGGGUGCUCGAGUGGCGAACGGGUGAGUAACACGUAUCCAAUCUACCCUUAAGCUUGGGAUAACUAGUCGAAAGAUUAGCUAAUACCGGAUAAUAACAUUUACUUGCAUGAGUGAAUGUAGAAAGUUGCGUUUGCAACGCUUUUGGAUGAGGGCGCGACGUAUCAGAUAGUUGGUUGAGGUAACGGCUCACCAAGUCAUUGACGCGUAGCUGUACUGAGAGGUAGAACAGCCACAAUGGGACUGAGACACGGCCCAU